ensembl:lncRNA
UUAGCAAUUCCCAUACAGUAGUGAUGCCCAGAGAGGUUGGAUGCCCCACACUUAGAGACACCCAAGCUUUGGAACAUGUCGUGAUUGCAUAUGGACUGUUAUCAUCAGUCUCCAAAGAAACAACUUGUUGCAGCACAGUAUCUGUGUACAUCCAACCAUCAAGCUGUUGGAUAAUCCCCACCAGAAGCAACGUGGAGAGGAAUCGCUCUGCAGACAGAGCCUCAACUCUGGACCUGCAUCUACAGCAGACAAGCACAGAUACGAGCAGAAAAGCUCUGGGGAAGGGAAACAUCAAUUCUGCCCCGAACUUUCAUUCAUUAGAAAGGCAAAAUAACCUCUUCUUGCAACGAACAGGCCGACUCCAUCCGCCCGAUGGCUCCGUGCAGCAGGAAGGAGACACGUUUCCAAGAAAAACACAAGAGACCUUUCAGCUACAUUAACAGCCCCGAUGAGAGCUCCUGCAGGCUUCAAGGAAAACACGCCAUCGAAGCCAAGUGCGUUAAUAACCGGGGGAAUGAAAAGCUGAACGCUCACAUCUCCCUGUUGGCUCCUUUGGAGAGCACAGGCGGCUCUGUUAAUAGGGGGAAAGGUGGAAGAACCUUGAGCAUGAUUUUAGAAGGAAAAAGCCAGGCAACAUAAAUAUCUGCAUAGCCUGCAUGUCUACAGGUAAUUAUGGCAGGGCUGGAGGGAAAGAGGGGGGCUGACACUGCUCUGUAAGCAGGAGCAGCAGGAGGAGAGGCUGAGUAUUUCUGGAGGAUGCUGAAAUUCAAGCAGGACCUGAACUGGUCUGAACUUCAUUUGGAUUCCCAGCAGUCAGAGCUCACGGUCCAGCUUCCAUAUGUCAGAUUUCACAAAACAAAUGGGUCUGAGCUUUGGAUCUAGGAACUGGUUUGCAUCUCAGCCAUCCCCGGGGCUUGCCAUUUUGGACCUGAACAUUGGACUUAUGCUAUGUUCUAUUUGAAAGCCCCCAUCUCAGUCAGUUUUUACAAUAAAUUAUCCUAUCAGGACAAGGGGGGCAAGCGAGGCAGUCCAAGCACUUUGUGAUAAAUGCAGACAGACGGUGCAGGGCAUGGGCAUGCCAAACACACGGGGUAUAUAUAUUGGAGUAGGUCUGCAAGUGAUGGCACCCAGCUCGUGCAUUACCUCUUGCUUUCCAUGCGUGGCCUCUUCCUCAGCCUACUGACUUGGCUUUGAGCCUUUAUUCUGCUAGCUGUGCCUGUUUAAGUCAAAAUAGAAAACAGAGCACAUUGGCAUUUGAUUUUCAGGGGUAUUCUCUCUACUUCCCAUUGCUUGCAGAAGUCAAUGCAGAGCUGCUCGCUGGUGCCAACUCCUGGCGUUGAAUACGCUUCCACAGAUGAAGUUGUUUUGUUGCAGAUCUCCCCUUGAAAAUGCAAAAUAGCUUUAAAAAAAGAAUAAUAACAAUAGAAGGAGAAAAAGCAGAGAGAGCUGCCUGGGAACGAAUGGAGGGCCAUUGCUGCUCUGUGCUGGACAUGCUCGGAGCUGCCCAGUGGUGGAAGCAUCCCAAGGGGGAUACGGGCGUCAGAGCAGCCUGACAAGGUCAGGAGCUGUGGAGUCAAAAAUCCCUGUGGCCUGUGGCCAUUGCAGAGCAGACAGGGCAUAAAGGGGGAGCAGCCAGGCUGGGUCCAGGCUCCAGUGCAUCCCAAUGCCGCCUGCAUUGCGCCGGAGCAGAACGCUCCAUCUCGCCACUGCCGUAAAACUGGGGAUGGGAUCUCCUUUGAGGCUUAAUUAAUGGAGGCUUGCAGAGCGCUCAGAAAUCCUGAGGGGGAGGGAAGGCCGUGUUAUCACUGCCAGGAAUCUUUUUUUUCUGAGUUUUAUUCGCAUUAGCUGCUGCUCGUGUUAAAUUCAUACAGCGUUUUGUAGGCAACUGAAGCACUUUCUCCGCUGCGCAUCAUUCACCACCGCUCGCAGCCCAAAUCAAGUUGCUGAAAGGAUGCUGAUGUCUC